ACUGAUUAUUUUUGCCCAGCCCUAGUUCAAUUUCAUAUAGCUUUUCUAUUACGAAGAGCUUCUUCUCGCUCGACGAGUUUGCUUUUCACGAAGUCCAUCAAAUUAUCAAAUAUGGUGAAGAAAGUUGUUGAUAAGGUGAAAGCUGGCUAUGUGUGGAUGGGUGUCAAAGCCAAGACGUGUAAAGCCUUUGUGGCUGCUAACAGUGCAAUACAAGGGGUGAAGAAUGGAUCAGCAUGGGUUGCUGUCAAAGGCAAAAAAUUCAAACGCUUUGUGGAAAGACAAAUGGAGGAUCCCGAUCAGGUGAUACAGGGUGGUGCUCUCGGCCAAUUAGAGGUGACGUUGUCCGGACAAGAGCUAGCUUUGAAAUGUGUGGUUUCGCAAAAGAAACUUGCUGCUGAGACAGCACAACAAAACAACUUGGAAUUGGUUAUGAAUGAGAUGCGCGUGAAACAUCUCCAUGGUGAUGGGACAGAAAUUACAGACCCCAUACUCAUACAAGACCUUUACCGUCUUAGAGAGGAGAUAUUACUCCGCGCUGCCGUCAGGGCCGGUCAAUUGGAUGCAACAUUUGAAAUGGUUGAGAAGGCCAAAGAACAUAUCCCGAAAAGCAUCCUUGAUGCAAGGAAGGUCACGUCAUCAUCUGCUUUUGAGAGGCUUAUAGCGGACGACCUAGCAGCCUUGUUCCAACGAGGCUAGCCACUUGAUGGUCAUGCGGCGACUUAGUCUGGUUCGGGUUUGGGGUCUACAUGUUUAGGAUUCGUUUGGGUACAUUCUAAUAUUUUGGGUUGGAUUCGGGCUCUCUCUACCUAAUUUUCAAAAAACAAAUUCUUUGAUGUUAAAUCGAAUGAAUUGUGUAUGCAUAGUUAUCGUAGAGGUCAAGUGACCGACCUUGACUCUACACGAACUUUCUUUCUGCCUGAAUUUUAAAAAGCAACGACGUCGUUUGCUUAUAGACAAUAUCACAUCUUGGUGACACGUGUCACUGAGCCAUCCUCCCCCCCCGGCCCUCCCAAACCCUACUGCACAAUUUAGUUAGAAGCCCUAAGAAUGAUUGUUGUCUGCGUUAGGAUUGAGUAGGAAGAAGCAGAGUGUUUUCAAGAAUGAGCAAGAAGGUUGAUUGAAAACGGUGUCAAACUGAGACACCGUUCCAUUUUUUUGUAAUCAUUGGUGACAAGUCCCGUGACCAGUAAUCCCAGUGUCUUGGGUUGCUACAAGGAGUCACUUGACAUUAGCAGGUUCGAUUCUUAAUCCCAAAAUUCUCAAGGCUUUAGAUGAUUCUGUUGCAGCUCAAAUCUAGUUAACCUUCCUCUCGAGAGUAGUGAGGACUUAUACUUACACUGAGAAUUGAGUUGAGGACCGCAAAUGUAGAAUGGAAUGGGGUGUUUAUUUAUUUAAUGGUCCUUAGUGAAUAGAUCUUGAUAAAUUUGUAACUCAAUGUUAGGAGCCUGUUCCUAUAUUGCUAUUUUAUCCACAGUAGAAUUCUCCUACAGAAAAUGAUGGCCCUAUGUGUCUCUUCUCUCUACAACGAAUUCUCGUAAUGAUCUUCACUGCUGGCUGAUGCUCCUGCUCAUCAUUUGUAUCUGCUAUCAAUCUGUUAUAGCAGAUACAAAUGAUGAGCUUCUUCACUAUCCAGUAUAUACAACCGUACGAGCAUCAGAAGCUCUCACAAGUAGAACCGUUGGUUAUUGAUGAAGAGGCAGCUAUUCCUUUGCCAGUGUUGAAGUCUUUGCUUGGUCCUUAUAUAGUUUUCCUAUCGUUAACUGUCAGUGGCUAUGAAGGCACUGGGAGAUCUUUGUCCCUGAAACUCCUCCAACAAUUAGAUGAACAUAACCGGACUCCUCCUGCUACUAGUCUUGUAGGGUUCUCUUUCAGCAUCCUUGAUGCAAGGAAUCUAGCCACUUCAUCAGCUGGUUUUGAGAAGCUUAUAGAGGACGACCUAACAGCCCUGUUCCAACAACAAGGCUAGCCACUUGAUGGUCAUGCGGAUUUUGGGGUCUACAAGUUUAAGAUUCCUUUCGGUACAUUCGGGCUCUCUCUACCUAAAAAAACAAAGUCUUUUGAUGUAAAUCUAUCAUUCGGUAUUGUGUAUGCGUAGUUCUCGUAGAGGUCAAGUGCUCAACCUAAAAAAACAAAGCAAGGACGCCGUUUUGGCUUAUAGACAAUACCACAUUGUUGGAUUCAGGCUCU